rnacentral:rRNA from 1 species
UUAUAUGAGAGUUUGAUCCUGGCUCAGGAUGAACGCUGGCGGCGUGUCUAAGGCAUGCAAGUCGAACGGACUGUUAUUUGUAGCAAUACUUAGAACAGUUAGUGGCAAACGGGUGCGUAACACAUUGGUAACCUGCCUCAAAGUCGGGCAUAAUCCCGCGAAAGUGGGACUAAUUCCACGAUAGUCAUCGAAGGUGAGAUUCCUUCGAUGUAAAGUCGCAAGACGCUUUGAGAGGGGCCUAUGGCCUAUCAGCUUGUUGGUGAGGUAACGGCUCACCAAGGCUAUGACGGGUAGGGGGUGUGAGAGCACGACCCCCCUCACUGGGACUGAGACAC